UACAGAGGGUGCGAGCGUUAAUCGGAAUUACUGGGCGUAAAGCGCGCGUAGGCGGCUUUGCAAGUCGAGUGUGAAAUCCCCAGGCUUAACCUGGGAACUGCAUUCGAGACUGCAUAGCUAGAGUAUGGGAGAGGGAAGUGGAAUUUCAGGUGUAGCGGUGAAAUGCGUAGAUAUCUGAAGGAACACCAGUGGCGAAAGCGACUUCCUGGACCAAGACUGACGCUCAUGUGCGAAAGCGUGGGGAGCAAACAGG
rnacentral:rRNA from 1 species